rnacentral:rRNA from 1 species
UACGUAGGGGGCAAGCGUUGUCCGGAAUCAUUGGGCGUAAAGCGCGCGUAGGCGGUCAGAUAAGUCCGGUGUGAAAGUCAAAGGCUCAACCUUUGAAAGCCGGUGGAUACUGUGAGGCUAGAGUACGGAAGAGGCGAGUGGAAUUCCUGGUGUAGCGGUGGAAUGCGCAGAUAUCAGGAGGAACACCAAUAGCGAAGGCAGCUCGCUGGGACGUUACUGACACUGAGGCGCGAAAGCGUGGGGAGCGAACAGG